AUUGAACGCUGGCGGCAUGCUUUACACAUGCAAGUCGGACGGCAGCAUAAAAGAGCUUGCUCUUUUGAUGGCGAGUGGCGAACGGGUGAGUAAUGCAUCGGAACGUACCGAGUAGUGGGGGAUAACUGUCCGAAAGGAUGGCUAAUACCGCAUAUUCUCUGAGGAGGAAAGCAGGGGACCUUAGGGCCUUGCGCUAUUUGAGCGGCCGAUGCCUGAUUAGCUAGUUGGUGGGGUAAGAGCCCACCAAGGCGACGAUCAGUAGCGGGUCUGAGAGGAUGAUCCGCCACACUGGGACUGAGACACGGCCCAGACUCCUACGGGAGGCAGCAGUGGGGAAUUUUGGACAAUGGGCGCAAGCCUGAUCCAGCCAUGCCGCGUGUAUGAAGAAGGCCUUCGGGUUGUAAAGUACUUUUGUCAGGGAAGAAAAGCCUGAGGAUAACACCCUCAGGUCAUGACGGUACCUGAAGAAUAAGCACCGGCUAACUACGUGCCAGCAGCCGCGGUAAUACGUAGGGUGCGAGCGUUAAUCGGAAUUACUGGGCGUAAAGCGAGCGCAGACGGUUAUUUAAGCAAGAUGUGAAAGCCCCGGGCUCAACCUGGGAACUGCGUUUUGAACUGGGUAACUAGAGUGUGUCAGAGGGGGGUAGAAUUCCACGUGUAGCAGUGAAAUGCGUAGAGAUGUGGAGGAAUACCGAUGGCGAAGGCAGCCCCCUGGGAUAACACUGACGUUCAUGCUCGAAAGCGUGGGUAGCAAACAGG
rnacentral:rRNA from 1 species